rnacentral:rRNA from 1 species
UACGGUAGGGAGCAAGCGUUGUCCGGAAUCAUUGGGCGUAAAGCGCGCGUAGGCGGCCCCGUAAGUCCGCUGUGAAAGUCAAAGGCUCAACCUUUGAAAGCCGGUGGAUACUGUGGGGCUAGAGUCCGGAAGAGGCGAGUGGAAUUCCUGGUGAGCGGUGGAAUGCGCAGAGUAUCAGGAGGAACACCAAUAGCGAAGGCAGCACUCUGGGACGGUACUGACGCUGAGACGCGAAAGCGUGGGGAGCAAACAGG